GACGAACGCUGGCGGCGUGCCUAAUACAUGCAAGUCGAACGCUUUUUCUUUCACCGGAGCUUGCUCCACCGAAAGAAAAAGAGUGGCGAACGGGUGAGUAACACGUGGGUAACCUGCCCAUCAGAAGGGGAUAACACUUGGAAACAGGUGCUAAUACCGUAUAACACUAUUUUCCGCAUGGAAGAAAGUUGAAAGGCGCUUUUGCGUCACUGAUGGAUGGACCCGCGGUGCAUUAGCUAGUUGGUGAGGUAACGGCUCACCAAGGCAACGAUGCAUAGCCGACCUGAGAGGGUGAUCGGCCACACUGGGACUGAGACACGGCCCAGACUCCUACGGGAGGCAGCAGUAGGGAAUCUUCGGCAAUGGACGAAAGUCUGACCGAGCAACGCCGCGUGAGUGAAGAAGGUUUUCGGAUCGUAAAACUCUGUUGUUAGAGAAGAACAAGGAUGAGAGUAGAACGUUCAUCCCUUGACGUAUCUAACCAG
rnacentral:rRNA from 1 species